rnacentral:lncRNA from 1 species
CAUCGCCCCGCCACGCCCCCACCGCUGUCCAGCCGCGCGAGUGCCCCGCGGCCGCGGCCACCGCCGCCGCCGCCGCCGCCGCCGCCCAGCCCUUCCACCUCGCGGCCCCACGGGAACCCAGGGCCAACCGGGGCCGGCCCCGCGUGGCCGUGCCCCCGACGCCGCCCUCGUCCGGCGGGCUCCCUCUGUCCUCGGCGGCCUCUUCCCACCCGCCAGGCUCCUGAGAGACCCUAGCGGUCCACUCGGCCGGCGCGGCACCCAAGCAGUUGGUCGAGUCGUGGUGUGCGAUGGAACGGAUCCCGCUCCGGGCUGCGGAGGCCCGGACAGCUUCAGCAAGCUGCCAGCAGCCCCUCCGUCUUCCAGAGCCCAUCUAGGAAAGACCCCGGGUCAGGCCUCUCCAAACAGCACCUACAGAAGGACGGGGCCCACUGGGCUCGAGAGGAACCUUCGGGGCCUGGCCAUCCAUCCCAAGCGGGACGGCUUCUGGAUUUUCUGAUGCCUGCGCCGUGUGUCAGCUUCUCCAAGUCGGUACCUGGCUGUCCUUGAUACCGUCGUUCGCGAGAAACCCUCGUUUCCGCACUGGAGUUGAAGCAGCACAGAGGAAAAGAUUCAGAAACUAAGGAUAAAGAUGCAGGAAGAUCGCGAUGGAGAGGAAUGAAAUUGAGGAGCUCUAAUGGAUGGUAUUUCUCUUCUUAGGAAGGUUAGAAGAAACUACUUGUGAAUUCCAUGCAGCACGACUAUUCUGACUAUUGCUGUUGAUAUUGAUGUUGCAUACUUUUUAAAUCUACCAAAAACCUUUUCUGGAAACAGGUGAAGGAUUAAUUAAUUAUCAAGACAAUAAAUAUUGACAGAAGGGAGGCAGUGCCCUUAUCCGGCUGGAGAUGUUUCCCAUUGAGCCUGGAGAUUUAAUCUGCAGAUUUGCACCAGCGGUGACACAACCUCCUCAAGGGCACUUGCGAAACACGUUUCUGGGUCCUGUGCAAAGUGAGGCAAGCGGAUUCCUGAAAAUGACAGCACAGUCCAACCACAGCUCAAGUCAAAAGCCAUAAGCACAUCAUGAAAAACAAACCCAUCACUGAACAAAUAUAUGAUAUGUUUACAUUGCAACUAAAUAUUUCACAGUGAGAAACAAGUCUUUUCUGUAAAAAUGUGCUGCAAUGUGUGUAUAUUAUUUCAUAUUUUGGGGAUUAUAUCUUUAGGACUAAUUCCUAGAAGCAUAAUUUCUAGGUCAAAGAGUAAAUCCAUAUACAAAUCUGCUAGAUGUUGCCAAACGCCCUUCUGUAGCACCUCCAACAUUUUGUAUCCCCAUCAACAAUGCGUGAGCUUGGCUGGUUCUCCACAGCCUCGCAACGGAGUGGGGUUUACACUUUUGGAUGAUUCCAAAUUGAUGGGUAAGAAAUGGUACAUCCUUGUACUUUUAGUUUGUUUCUCUUAUUAUUGUUGCUGCAGUCUAGAUCUAGCCAGGAAGAGAGAAACCAGACCAAUUAUUUUAAUAGAGAAAACUGAAUUUGGGUAAAAGGCUAAGCAGGAAUUGGUGGACUAAGCAGGCAAAGAGGAACCAGGAGGAACAGAGAGAAAGUCUAACCAGCUAUAUUAAAAUUCUUCAUAAUUGGAAUGUAUAGAGUGGCUUCGGUAUUCUCACUGAACCAUAACUUCUCUCCAUGACUGUUUGCCCCUGAAUCGUGAUAUUGCCCUCUCUCUGACUCACUUGCUCAAAUUCUGACACUUAGUCUUUUAAUCCAACUGAAUAGAGACGCUUCUUAUAUACUAGGGAACCCAGUUAGAGUGCCUUGAAUGUAAGGAUAUGACCAGAGGGCUCUCUGGGAUUGGAGGAGAAGGAUAUUCAUCUCAGAAAGUUUGUUUAAAUCAGCAUGCCUGUCCCAAACUCCUGAAUUUUUAAAAAUCUGUGCCUGAGAGGUCCCUUGACAAAUUAGGAGGCAGAGUGACACAUUACACAAGCCACUGAAUACUGCAAUCUUGACCCAGUUUCUGAAAGACUCCAUAAUGUAAUCAAUAGCAAUAUAUCUCAUGACAAAGAUAACACAAAAGAAGAAAUUUACAACAAAGUUGAUUCAUGUAUAUUGAUUCAAAAACUCUGAACAAAAUACUAUCAGAUGUUAUAGUGCUAACAAUAAAAUAAUAUUAAUAAUAAAAUGCCAUGACUUAGUAGGUAUACAUUCUAGCAUUUAUUCCAGUAGAUUACCAGGUAUGUGGGCGAAAGGAGAAAAAUAUAAAUUACCAUCUCAU